UAAUACGGAGGGGGUUAGCGUUGUUCGGAAUUACUGGGCGUAAAGCGCACGUAGGCGGAUUAGAAAGUUGGGGGUGAAAUCCCGGGGCUCAACCCCGGAACUGCCUCCAAAACUCCUAGUCUAGAGUUCGAGAGAGGUGAGUGGAAUUCCGAGUGUAGAGGUGAAAUUCGUAGAUAUUCGGAGGAACACCAGUGGCGAAGGCGGCUCACUGGCUCGAUACUGACGCUGAGGUGCGAAAGUGUGGGGAGCAAACAGGAUUAGAUACCCUGGUAGUCCACACCGUAAACGAUGAAUGCCGGUCGUCGGGUAGUAUACUAUUCGGUGACACACCUAACGGAUUAAGCAUUCCGCCUGGGGAGUACGGUCGCAAGAUUA
rnacentral:rRNA from 1 species